UCCGCCCCUGCCUGCCCGCCGCGGAGGCGGCUCCGGCGGCCGGCGCGGCCCCGGGCGCUGCGGGCGGGGAAAGGGGCCUCGCUGUGGGAGGACCCGCCUGGUGCCGGCAACAUGGCAGCGUCCAGCCGAGCCCAGGUGCUGCGGCUGUACCGGGCCCUGCUGCGGGAGAGCCAGCGUUUCAGCAGCUACAACUACAGAACGUAUGCUGUCAGAAGGAUAAGAGAUGCCUUCAGAGAAAACAAGCAUAUAAAGGAUUCUGAAAAAAUAGAAGAACUAGUGAAUAAAGCCAAAGCAAACCUAGAGGUUAUUCAUCGGCAGGCUACAUGACAUUCUUCGUUGUCAAAAGACUGACUCUUUGCUCUCCUAUGACAUCCCAAUAUUUAGCAUACUAGUGAGACAGAAUUCUUGUAGACCAAAUUAUGGAAAGUCAGUGGAAGUAGAAGCUAAGAUGUACUUUUGAACCUCGGUUUGUGGAAUGCUGAACAUGUUUCAUCCCAGUUUCAGGGGCACCUUUGACAAGGCAAGAAAAGUGUUUUAAUAUCACUGUCAAUGCAACCCUUGCCUGUCAUAAUGAGAAAGAUGCCUGUUUGGUGACUGCUUUUCCCAGCCCAAGGCAACUGCCUCCAGCUAGACCUUUCUUUGGGAAGAUCAAUCACAAAAUCGAAUAUAUAUCUCAUGGGAAAUUCAGUGUGUGUGAGCAGUAAGAACAAACACCAGUGGCAACUCCCUAUUUCAAAUUUUUCAGUGACUUUGAAAGAUUUCCUAGUGAUCCUGGUAAUAUUUGACAACCGUAAAUAAAGAGCACUCUUUACAACUUAGAUAAACAGCAAAGCGUUUUUACCAAUUAUUAGGCAUGAAAACAAAUCUCUUUUCUCAUACCUAGGAUUGGUCCUCCAGAUAAGGUUAUAAGUAUGUCAUCCUGACAAAGUAGAUAAUUUAUGAUACAGCCAGGUGUAAUUGUUCUGUGAAUAAAGAGACGCUUUUAGCUUCUAGGGAUAUAAAGUAUUUUUCAUUAAUAUUAAGUAAAUUUUAAUGAUUGAAGAAAAGACCAAAGUGGAGGACAGUCGUUUAUAUCCUGUCUAAACUGGCCUACAGCUACAUUAAUGUUUGUAAUAGAUUUAGAGUAUAGCUAAAAUAACAGUAAGGAUUUCCUCCUCUUUUUCCAUACCCUGUCGCCACUUUUUAAACAUACAUAUGACUAAAAGGGUGAAGGCUAUCUGUUUAUUUGCUAUAACUUACAGGAGACAUUAAAGAAAAAUGGAAGGUAACUGUAAUCACCGUUGUUUGAGAAGCAGUGAUAGAUUGCGAUUAAAUGGUUUGAGGCUAUUAAUUGCAAUGAGAUUAUACUGGUUCAGAUACCUCUGAUGGCAGGUGCUUGAAAUAUUAGUUAUUUCAAAGACAUAUUAGAUUAUAAAUUAUUAGCAAAUCUGUAUCAAGGUGAUUAAACCCACUUGUAAACUGUCAGACAUGGGUACUAUUUCAAGUUGUAGUUUAGUCACUUGUGUACUGGAAAGAGAGUUGGGACGUAAAUUUAGGGGUUAUGUGGGAAUAUGUGGAGUAACUGAGUUGCUUUCGAGACUGUGCAUUUCCUGUGCUUUCUACCCUCAUAAUGAAUGUUUGAUCAGCUUUCAAGUUUCUCUAGUCCACCAUAAGCCUUUUCAUCUGACUCUGUAGAUGCUCUAGAGAGGGAGGAAGCUGCUUCUCUAAGGCGGACUUAAAAGCUCACUUGACCACUUGGGGGAGAUAAAAAACAGCAGAUCUAUGCAGCCCUCACAAUAGGUCACAAAUACAGUAAUGGCAUCCUUGAAUUUCCAUUCUGAGGGUCUGCUCUUGAUAGACAGUACUGUUCUCAGUAAAACAGUAUUUUUUCCAGUAGGAAGGAUAAAAUACAUUGCUCUGCAAGCAUCUUCUUGGUAGUAGCAGCCCAUGUCAUUAAUCAAAUGCUGUUUAUUGAUGCAGAUACAGAAUUGUUAAUGGUUUGGUAUUGGAUUUAUUGAAUUUUAAGGAAUUAGAAAUUGAAACAGUAGAAGCUGAGGAACAGUUCUGUAGUUUAAAGGUCCUAUUAACUUGUGUAGCUACUGAAUUUCGCUGUGCGUUCACACUCUCACAUGCACACAUAAACACUUACAGGAUUCCAGUACCCUGCACAAAAUAAACAAAGCUUGAAGCCUGACAGUAUGUACAUCCAAAGCCAGGAAAGUGAAAAAAAGCAAAAGGACAUAUUUUUACGUUUAUUUUCUCCCAUCAGUGUUGUUUCAUUCCAAGCUUGAUGCAUUCUCACUGAUAUGUUGUCUUUGGUGUGUAAAUAUUUGCAAGAGGGUGUUAACAGAGUUACAGGAAUUUUGCAUUACUGGUUUUCUGCUUUUCAGUUUUUUACCUAAAAUGUUUGCUGCAGUCAUUACAAAACUUCGUAUUCUAGAUAUUCUGUUACAUGUACUAUUAAAAGUACGAUCGUCCAUGGGAAAUAUUCCCCAGCAGUGUCCUGUUGGUAACUGUAAUAAUAAAUAGAUGUAGUUGAUACACAGCAUAACUUCUACCAUGGACAUCACAGUUCCUCUCAAGUGCCCUGGGCUGGAGCUGGGCUUUGAGGGCAGGGGGGCUCCUGUGUCAUUCCGCUUUGAUUUUUCUCCUGUGAUCUUUCGGUUUCUCUUUGUUUUGAGCCAUUUCUUGUAGUUGAGGAGCAAUUCUCUCCUCCUCACUCCUGCUGUAUAUCUGGUGUUAGGUCUCUGCCUUGCCAGAAGUACCUUCUGCGGGCUCAUUCUCAGACUUGUUCGUGCUAGUUACCAAGAUGACAGGGCUUGUGUUUUCUCAAGAGACCUUGCAGCCUACUGUGCUGGAGUGAGUCUUGGUCAGCUGAAAUGGAUCCCAAGAAUGGGCUUUCCUUCCUGGCCUUGCCUCAAGACAUCAUGGCCCUGCAGGCUGCUUUAUGAGGCUCAUUAGCCUUGAGGCAAAUUGAGAUCUUACCCAAGCUGAGUAAGUAUUAAUGAGGAAAUUCAAGGACCAGAGGUUUUGUCACUCUUCCAGCUUGAUGAGCAGGACCAUGAACACUGCAGGAUCAUGUUCCUUUCUUCCAUCUGUCAGCACUGUUUUCCCACUUUGUUCCUGGUACUGAAUAACUCUAUCAUGCUCAGAGGAGAUGGAGCUAGAGCACUUCACACCUCAGUCAGUCGUGCUGGACUCAGGAUUAGUGCAAACCCUUACAUCAUUAGUGCACAAAAUGUUGGUCUGCCCAAUUAGAGCUGCAGCAGUUUGCUCCUUUUCUUUAUAAUUUCACAGAUUGCUUGUCUAUCAGUGCUCAAAACAUGGUCCUCUUCUGGUGUGGCGACUUGUGUCCUACAGUGAUUUCUUCCCUUCCUCCCUGGGGCCCAGCAUGAAUCUUUCCUCUGCUGCUUGUAGCAGGCAAGAUCACCUGGCUGCUUGCUGGGAAUAUCCAAAUUGUGUUGGUUCCUUGUUCACAGGGCACAGGCAUCAAACCUCCGCAGCAUCACAGAGUUGUCUGUGGGUGACGCCACAUUUACCAAACUUGUCCUAUAGAUGCUGUUUGCCUGGAAACUCCAAGAUCCCCCUUCCACAUAAGCUACUUCCUCUGGACGCCCACUGCAAAUGUGUGUAGAGCAAGUUGUUGAAAAGAAAAAAGAUUGUUUAUCAGUCUUCAGUGUUUGUAGUGAUGUGAUAUCUAUUAAAAAAAAAAAGUCAUAGCCCACCCUCAUUCCACUUUUCAUUAGAGAACCUGCAGCAUACAUUUCAGUCAUAUCGUGAAACUAGUCAUCUCUUCAAAGGACUAAACUUUCCAGUUAUUUUGGAUAGUUCUUUUGGUUAAGAAAGUAAAUGUUAGCUCUGUGAAGUGUUGUGUUAUUUAUACAUGCUUUUAAAAACAAAUUAUUUGUAAGUAAACACAACUGAAAUAAUUUUACAUUUCUCAAUCCAAAAAGCCAAGUAUCACACAUUUCACAUAAUGUGUGAAUAUUAUUUUCAGACAUUUUGAGAGGUGACUUGUUUCACAAUAUGACUGUAAUGGAGUUAAUAGAAUACUGUGCUCAUAUGAUUUGUUAUGAGAAUGGGUUUUAGUUUGUUUUUAAACUUUAUAAAUAGCCAUAUAAAUGUACUCGACACAUAUUUUUACAUUUUUUAAAAAAACUCCAUUGUCCCCAAAUUCAGAGAAAGUAAAAACUUCACAUCCUCAGUACAAACUUAGCAUACUUUUGCCACAGGGACUUCAAGCAUUUUCUGUCACUUUUACUUGUUCCAUCACAGAAACCUCUGAUUGCAUCCUCACUCCAGAAUCUUUUAAGCUGGUGAGGAAGCAUCAAUCAUCAUUCACACCUUUAUAGUCUGGUGUUUAGGUGGGAGAGCGAUGUCCCUGGGAGUUGCAGCUUUUUGCCAGUGCUCAGCUCAGGGCAUUGGAAUUUCAUCACUCGCUUUAUUAUUUCGGUCACAUUUUCCUUAAUGCUGUACAAAAAUUCGUCUAAAUGAUUAUGCUCAGUCAUGAAGUAUGCAGUAUAGAUGACAUUUCAGUUAGGGAAGGAAAUGUUUGAACAUUAUGGUUGAUUCAAGUGAGUGAUCAUACUACAAAUUAUUUGAAUGUCUUGUGAGUGAGGGAAGAGAUUUUGGCUUUCUAAUGUCUCGUUCUUUCAAAGAAAAAAAAAAAAAAGUUAAUUCCCAAAGCCAUAAAAAGAAUUUUAAGAGGUUUGCUGCUACCCUGCUGUAUGUCCUGCAUGGCCACCUACCCCUGUUUGAAGCGGGUGGUAACAGGCUGUCCCACGGUAGGUGAAGAGUUCUGAAUCAGCAGCAUUUCUGCAGGCACUUUGUGCUUGCUCAAGAUUCAGUAAUGCGAGGUGUGGCUGUGAAUACAGCCAGGCAGGGAAGGGCAAAGCUGGCUGAAGUUCUUAGCCUAACAUAAAGAUCCUUUUCCUGUAGCACACCAUUUUUCACUUAGGAAACAGUGCUAAAGGCUAAAGGGGGAACAAAAGCUCUUAUUCCAGAAUAAAUGCGUGCAGGAGAACAUGAAGAAGCGUGCAUCAUUCUUGCUGUGUGAGGGAAGUAAUCACAGCCAUGCUUUUGUUUCCUAAAGCUGGGUUUGAAGGGUGCCUCCUUCACAUUAUGCAAUUCCCUGAAUGAUCACUUUGAGACUAUUUUUGCGCUUCUGUGAAGAAGCAAAAUAUUGUUCUUUGUAUGUGUAGAAAGCAUAACUGUUUGUUCCAGUACACAAGAAAGUUAGCUAGUUCUGAACACCUCUUCAGAGUGCUUUGAUGUAGAAUAAGGAACACAGAAAAAGAAAGAAUAAGGAAGAAAACAGCCCAGGUUGUUUUUUCUCAGCAAAUCGUGACAAAUGCUUACUGACCUUGUGAUGAUGGAUGUAUAAGAAAAAAUUGUUAUAUUUAUUAUCUCCUGUGGAGUGACUGUCACACAGUUCAUGUCCACGCAGGGAGGUAUUCCCACUGAUGCCCAGGCUGUUGCAUCACCUCUUGGCUGGCAGAUGCUUUGAAGAAUGGGGAGAGCUGGGUGUUUCUUUACCCACCUUUUGUUUGUUGCUGUUAACCUGGCACCCAUUGAAACCACUGACAACACUGAACUAUUAGCUGGUGAUCACUCAAGUUUUUAACAGAUGUACAAGCCAUCUUUAGUUAUUAUGCCACAGGUUGCAAUAUCUGCUGCCACGACCAUGUAUAUCCCGUUGACCCUUGUCGAAGUAGGGUCGCUUUCUCCACACACAUAUUUGUGUCUUCUGCAGUUGGUUAUUGCAUGUGUGUGCUUUUGUUUUUUGUAGUACUGCAAGAACAUUUGUGUUUCUCUUCGCAGAUUGCUACGCCUGCAUCUACUGCUUUUAGAUCUCAGUUUUGCUUACAGGAUUUCCUGCAUCCUCUACAUGUAGUAGCAGUGGCUUUCAAAUUUAUACAGUGUGCAUGGAAGUAAACAGCAGUUUUCAGUGAAGCCUCCCAGUCUGCCCCAUUCUCUUUAACAUCAUCAACAAAAUUUGAAUACAUGAUAAUCCAGUGAAUACAUACAUGCUGAUUUAAGGCAGCUUUAUCUUCUGCAAUGGAGCUAUAUUAAUCCUUAAUCAUAUCUGAGAAAACACCUGCUAAUGGAGCUAUAAUGUGGCUCUUGACAACCGAUGCUAGAAGGUUUCUGCUGGCUGAAACAAAAUAUGCUUCAAAUGUGAAUGGGAACAAGUUCAGAAAUCUGGUGUGGCAUUACGCCUACAGUGAAACCUGCAAUUCUUUCUGAAUGUAAAGUACUGGAGGAAAAUUUUUCAUGCUGAUGGUCAUCACAUUGGCAUAGCAGUGCUGCUGUGGCAGUGAAUUGUGGUUUUUAAGAACUGUAAUGUUAUAGUACAUCAAGGGGAUCAUUACAGCUGAGCAAUCCAACCAAGAACACCCUAAACAAAUGAAACUACUUGUUUAACAGCACCCCGUCAAUCACUGUGGUAUAACUACUUCAUGGUUUCAGUCCAGAAAGGCACCUCUGGGGACCGAGGAAGUAGGCAGGGAAAUUACUGAACCAUGUGUGUACUAUAAAACCCAACCUGAUGCAGUUUUGUUUUCUGUAUAACAACAAAUUAUUUUAACAUCACUGUUACAUAGUGCAAGAAACAGAUAAAGUUUCAUUUCAUAGGAUUGUACCCAUACUAAUAGGCACAGAUUUGAGUAAUUAUCUGCACUUUUGUAAACAAUUCCCAAGCAGAGCAAUCCCUUUUGUCAAAGACACACCAGUGCAUAAAGGGUUGUUUCUUCUUUUUUGAGAUUAUUUACUGCUAAAUAUAAAUUCACACAAAGAACAAUUGAUUUAUAAGAACUUGACUUAUUCUUCAUUAUCUUUAGUAUGAGAUUACAUUGUAUUAGUUGAUGUUACUAUGACACUAGAAAAAAAUAUUAGAUUGAAAAUCAGAAUUUAAAAAGUACCACCUGUAAUUUUGAUGCUAGGCUUUGCUCAUGGUGGUGAUGUAAUUCAGUUACUGCAAAAGUUUCUAGCUGCCCUCUGUUUCGUAUUCACUUUCUAUAUUUUUGUAGGUGACUUCUGCUUUUAUUUAAGGUAAGCAACCAAAAAAGGCUGGGCAGGGUACUUUAUUUUCCAAAUACAUAGGUAAACAAUAGGAAUAGCUAAUAUACCUGUUGCAGUGGAUUUAUUUUUAUUUAUUCCACUGAAAGUAUCUUGCUAAAGCCUGCCAUUUGUGGCUUGGUCUCUUUUGGUCCUUUGUUGUUGGAAGUUUACAUCAGUGUCCACAGGUCUGUGGAAUCACACGCUGUUUAAACUUGGUGGGGAAACUAUGACAUGUUCAAGCCACUGUUACAGCUGAGGGUACCCAGUCAGCAUCUUCAUACUGGGUUGUAAGAUGAUUAACUGACCAUACAAAGGAAGGAAAUUAGGGCAAUCUUCAAAAUGUUCCUUAUGCAAAUAUUUUGACACUAUCAUGUUUCUGUCAUUUUCUUCUGCAAACCACUUUGGAGGAGUUGGGGAGGGGAAGUAGCCAGUCUGAAGUCUGAAGUAGACCAGGCAGUCUGAAAAGCAUAGAUCUUUAUUCAUAUAUUAUUUUGCAGGCAAAGCUUCCCUAGGUGCUAGUAGGGAACCAGGGGGCUCAUGCAAAGACAGAACGUGGCAGAAAAUUCUGGGGAGAAUGCAGAACAAUUUUGGGGAAAUAUUCUGAUGUAUUUAAUACUUGCUGUAAUUAAAUGAUCUUUCAGAGCAAUGAUUAAUGUGGAAUCCAGUGGGAACUGUUUCUUUCAUGUUUAUACAGAAGUGAUUGAUGGAAACUAAAUUAAUUAUAUUCAUAUGACAGAAGGUCUGAAAAUACAAAAUGUGCUCUAAGCCUUGUUUAAAUCUGCAGAUAAAUGUCAAGUCAUCUUUUGUGUCUUUGGUUACACAUUUUAAACUUUUUAUUUGCAUGUUGGCAUUAUGUAUUUUAUUCUAUGGAAAAAAAAAAAAAGGCCUUUCUGGGCUUGUGGAUUUUAUACUGCUGGUAUCAGAAGUCUCUUCUGAAUCUGUAUUUCUGUAACAGAUUAAAAUAGCAAUCUCUCUGAUCUCUUGGGGCUUCUAAUUAUGAUUUUUUUUCAAGUCUUUACUGAGUUAGUAUUUGAGGCAACACAGAAUUUAGAAAUGCAGCCCAUCAGCAGUUUUCUGGAUCCUAGUUUCUGCAUGCAGAAUAGUAAAGAAGUAUAAAUUAAGUUUAAUAAAAACCAUCAAAGCAUCAUGCAACUAUAUAUUUCUGCUGCAAAAAUUUUAUAAGUAUUUAGUAGAAAACUAAAGGGUAUCAUCAUAUUAGCAUGAAAAAAAAUCUGUCUUAAAAUUCAUAAACAAAUUCUAAUUAUGAAUGCCAGUAUAUGGAAUUAAAGGAAGGAAGUAGUAGCAUGCAGUUUUUCAGUGCAUUAUUUUUAGUGGUUUAGCCAUACAAAAAAUACAAAGGGAAAGGCAGCAUGAGAAGAUGUCAGGCUGUUUCCCCAAGAUCUUCUUUAUUCUCCAGCACCUCUCCAGGGAUCUUACAUGUUCUGCUGAGAUGGGCUGGUGGGUGCCCGCUUCCUGGAGGAAAUUCGUUUUGGAAAUGAUACGUUAAAAGGAAGUAGUUCACCGCUGCUGCUUUUGGAGUGGAAGAGGCCCUGUUAAUGGGAGAAAUGAUAAAAGCAAGAGAAGACUUAAGGGCACAAGGGUUAAAGGUGAAUUAAUGGAUAGAAUGAAGCAGUGUGGGAAAGGAAAAAUAAGUAUUAGUUGUUACUGCCUUGCCUCAGCUGCUUAGAAGAUUUUCAGCUCCCUGGUAUUAUUUAUGUGGUUUUGAGCACCAUUAUGUAUAAACAAAAACGAGAGAGAUGCAAGUCUUUCCCAAUUAGUGUCUGCUUAAGAAAUAACCUACUUUUUAAUUAUAUCUCUGUUUCUUCUAGCUUGCUGUCCUGAAUCUGUCAGAUUUUACCACCUCCUUUGUAAAUGACAUGGCCUGAUGUCAGACAAAAAAAUGUUAACCUGUUUUAUAGUUGAUAAUUUGAUACAGAUACAGAAUCACAUCAGUGUUAGAGACAAUUUUCAACCUGUGUUAGUUGCACUAUUCUGCCCAUCCUACUGUUGUACAUGACAUGUCAAUCAGAGCAGGUUCUUUAAGAAACACUUUUGUGUUUUCUGCUUGAAAAUUUAUGUUAAUCUGGUACAUAAAUACAAUGAGAAAGAAAUAACCCGACAGGGUUUUCCUGCACUUUCCCCAGUGUAAUUAAGGUCUUGUGUUGAUUUCAUAGUUCAGCAUAUUGGUGUUGGUCACUGACACUAACACUGUCAGAAACCAAGGGAAACGGGAGUCUAUUUUUUUAUUAUUCAUUUUUAAAUUAAAUUGUUUGGCUGAAGUGCCCAAUUAGCACUGGUCCAAUUACAAGAUACCCUGGUGAAGGAGAGCAGGAAGCAAUACAUCUCGCUUCCUAAGCAGAAAGUUCAUUUUAUUUUUAAUCAGUGCUAGUAAGGAAGACUUCCUUGGGAGUAGGCUUCACUGAGGGUUUGUUCAUUAUCAGCUCAAGGUGAAGCCAAAGGAAACCUUUCUUAUUUCAUUCCAGAAUUGAUUAAAAAAAAAAUAACAAGUGCAUGCACAGGAGGUUGGUGCAUGUAUUUAAAAGUAAGUUGCUAUUGGUAACUGCUGAUUUCCUUUCUUGGAAAAGUCAUUGUUCAUUACUUACCUGAAGUGAAAGGUUAAUGGCCUGUAACGAUCUGAAGAAACCCCCACGAAAAUGCACAGCAAGGAUCUAACGUUGUUAUACAGUAGUGCUUUCUACAAUACUUUUCCUCAGGUAAGACAAACAUAGAAGAGAGCUGUUGCUUUUCUAAUAAAUAUAUUCGAUGUAAAGUAGUAGCCGAUAUACUGCAAAAUGAAAAGGCUCCUGCUACUGUCAAACAGACAGUUGCCACCAAGGGCACAAAUUUUGCUUUCUUUAUUGAUGUUUGCAAACCAUGCUGGCUAUACUUUAAAACUGCUGCACUUUUUUCCAUAAAAAGCAUCUUUGUUGUAGUAGAAGUAACUUAUUUUGUAGCAUGGCUGUUGCUUUAAUUGCUUUCUUGAUAGCUGAAAACUGUUACUUUUGGCACAUUUUUUUUCCUUCUUGCAGUUUGAACACAAUUUAAAAUGAGAUCUUGUGUAGUAUGUUUGAUAUUGAGGUAUUCCGAAGAAUUUUGUUGGCUCUCUAGCAGAAGCUUGGACACUUCAGAGACAUCAAUUAGCCGCCUCACUGAGAUGCGUCUGUGAUGUAGGAUUAAGCCACGUCUACUCAGCAGCUCAGGGAAGAGAAUGCAGGAUACGUGUUUCAAACCAUAGAAGGAUUUCAUGGGGAUAGGCUGCAACCAUCAGUCUGUAGUUGAAGAAGAGCUCUAAUUUGGCAAUGCCUCUGGAAACUACAGUCCUGUGUGGCACCUUGUGUUAGUGAAAGUAGGUGGUGUGGUACAUGGGAAGAGGGGUCAGGCUGGCUAGGAAGCAGUUUUUUCCAGACAAGAUACCAGAGUGGUGUUGGGGAUUAACCUGGCUGCUUUCCCAGUCACUUCACCAAACAGCUGUACAGAUGUUGCUGGCAGCAGGAGCAGAGUGGGGAGGAGAAAUUGCAGGAAGGGGCUUGACUGCUUUUUUGUGAGUGACAGUGAUAGCCAGUAGCAGGAUAAAACAUGCAUCAAAUGGCAGCCACUGAUUUUUAAAAGCUCUGGAAUAACAUCCUUCAUCUUCUGAAAGAUGCAAGUGGAGCUCAAUCAAAGGUAUAAAAAGAGCAUUUUUCAGCAGUAGCGCUGGUAUAAGCAGUUCCACCUUUGAGAAACAGGAGGUUGGUUUCCCAGUGAAGGCAUCUAGGCAGCCCCCAGCCCAGAGCAUCCAUCACUUCCAAAGGGGCUCUCUGCAGAGGGGGAGCCCAGGGCAGACUGCACUGCCACAAAGAGAAACAUCAACCCAACCACAUGAGUGGGGACAGACUCAGGGCCAUCGCUUCUCAGGGUUUAAAGAUAGCAGGGAAGGGGUCCCCACUGCUUCUGCGUAGUAUUUCUGCCAGGACUAACUCAAAACAAGUGAUAUCACAUAUAAAAUCAUUAAAAGCCUUUCUUGCAGCACUCAGAUUUUCCUCUGAUGCUGACCAUUCUCAGCUGGGCCAAGCUUGAGAGGAAGCAAUAUUGCAUAUUAAAUAGGUAUCAGCACCUUCAAUAUAUUUAGUGCGCGAUGCUGCCAAGUGUCUUUUUUGUCAAUGUUAUUGGCAUAGGUAUUGGAAUACUGUGUGAAAUUUCUUUUUAUUCUCUCCCUACAAGCCUAUAGCUGAACAUUAUGAUAGCUCACAGUCUGCUAACCUAGAAUUAUUGCUUUAGUCUAACUUUUCCACAUUGAGUAAAAACUUCAAGAAGGCACAGAUCUAUGCCAUGAUUUACUUGAGUGAUAAUUGAUGAACUUGCGAUUUGACUAUGUCACUUAAUAGAGAUGUGUAUUUUUCUGCCAAAACGGAAAAUUUUUGAACCCAGUUGUCUUCCUACUUUUUUCCACUUGUCAUCUCCCCAGCCUUCUUCCUUCCCCAUCAUCCUCGCUUCACUUGCCAUAAAUUGUUCCUUUCUUCACUUUCGGUAGUUUUAGCCUACUUAGUUAUAGAAGGCACUCUACAAAUAUUUAAACUGAGUUAGAGGUGAGGUUGGAUAAGAGCUUUGAGAGUGCAGACAAAGGAGAGCAGCUGAGCCAGGUUUGGUGGAGCAGAUCCUUCUGCUGGAAGUUGCUGCUGCCUCACGUGAGGCGCAUCACCAGCUGCACGUACAUCCCUAGCCUGCUGCAAUGCAAAUAAAAAAUAGGGGUACCUAAGUAAGCUCACUUCAUUGUGCAUCAGGGUAGACUUGUUGCGCAGGUGCGGUCGGUUGCUUUACCUCAGCUGGAAGGUUGGAACUUCUUACACCUCUCUCAUGUGUGCAGACAGUUGUCAGGCCACGUGUUGUCCUAGAAGUGCUCCUUGGGAACAGGCAUGUGAAAAACAGCUUAUAAAUUAGCUUUGGGAAAAGUCCUCAAUGACAAAGCUUGUGUGGUGAAACUGAUUGCCCUAAGGUGGGAGAAAAAAAAAAAAAAAAGAAAAAAGUACAUGCCUCAUCCAGGGAAUUGUGAGGAAAACAGGAGGUUUGCUCAGCACCAUUGCAGCUCACAAAUACGUCUCUACCAAAGCAAUGAAAUACACAUUUGUGUGUGACAACUGCAUUGUACAGAAAUCCCCUUCAGCUAUAUGUAUUAGUUCUGGUUUUAGCUGCCAUUCUUUAAAGGAACAGCAUUAAAGGGAAGAAUAAACCACUUUUUUUUUUUUUCCAUAUGUAUCUUUAAGCCUUUUUCUCAAUAUUCCCUUUCUAGUACAGUGAAUAAUUUGUCAAUCCCAUUGCUGCUGCCUGUGAGUUAGCCUUUUUUUGACUCAUCCGUUUGUAGCAGCCUUUCUCUAAUUAUGUGUGCAAAUAAUUUUGGGUGCACUACCUGAGAUGAUACCGGUUAUCUGCGUAAAGAUAUUUGCUUUCUAAUUUUUUCCUUUAUUUAGCUUACAUGCUGUUCAUUUUUCUCAAGUGGUGAGGAAUGCAGGGAAGGGAGAGAAAAUAAUAGUACAUCACUGAGUAGAACAACAGUUGACAGCAGGUUAUAUAUUAGUAAGAGCAUAAUAAUUUUCUACUGCAAGGCUCUGUUCCAAAGAGAAACUUCUACAAGGUUUUGUGAAUCUUUCUGAAAGCAUUGCUUGUUGAACUGUUGCUUUUGACUCGGAACUUGUUGUAUAUAUAUGUCCCCGCUUUUUGUGCUACUGCUUAGAAUCGUCUCUAUUGUGAAUAGAUUAAAUAUUUUAAUUGUUGUAAAUGUAACUUUCUUGUCUGUUUUGGAAGGCUUUGUGGCACUUUUAUGAAUGUGCUUCAGGGCAUAGUUUGGUUAACAUGUUUUCAGUGUCAAAGUAAGCGUGACCUGGAUCAACAAAGCUGAUGGAGCUGAAAAGUAACUUGUUUUAUUAUUGGGGAAGAGAAGAGGUGUCAUUUACUCACCAAUUUAUUUUUUAGUGUUUGUUAGAAAGUUAUCUCCCUUACCUCAUGGCUAUCAAAUUAUGUAUCGUAAUAAUUAAGGAAUAACGGAUGGUGACAGAAGGAGCUGCUGAACUCGCUACAAGCAGCACAACCCCGAAUAGGUGUGUGAACAUACCAGUAAAGCAAAAUACUUCGUGUCAAGAACCUGAUGCGUAUGCUUUGAGUUUGGGGUUUUACUGUGCGUUAGUUCUUGUCUAGUCCUGACAGCUUAAUGCUGAGUUACUGCUGGAGCACAUUCGGCAUGGUUCUGGAGAUCUCCCAGGUGAUUUCCUUGGAGCCGAAUCCACCCUGUGCACUCCGAGGCACUGGGCCACAAUGUGGAGCAAAGCGUGGAAGAUGAAGAAAUUCACUUUACAAGUGCGCUCCAUGUACAAAGUAAAACGUCAGCGUAGAUGCACUCCAAAAACCUUAACUUCUCCACAGUGACAAGAGCAUGUGGUCGCACAAGUAAUUAGAGAUGGCCUUCUGCAUCCUCUCAUCAUGUUGUAACUUCUGUGCAAGCUUCUUUCUGAAUUCCCUUUAUUGCUGAGAGAAACCUUAAAGCAGAAUAAGAGGAUGGCUUAAUAAUUAGCAGGCUCUAGCUAUAUACACAACUGAAGUGUGCUUCUGCCAGCAUGAAGGUUCAGCAGCUAGUACCUGGGACACCAGUGACAUGUUUAAUUGGUGUAUUGAUACUAAGAAGCAUGUGAUAGUAUAAAGCACAGGGACUUUUGUUACAGUUUUGGCAAACCUGAGCUGAAAGAAAAAGCAGCACAGAUGGCUGAAAAUAGUAUUAAAAUAUUCCAUUUCAUGUCUGCAGAAAUCAUUAGACAGCAGUUAAAGGGGUGUUAGUAAUGCAUCAGAUUCACUUGGGGAGUUAUGUUUCCGUAAUGUCCACUGAAACAAUGAUACUUUUGUUUUUCUUUUUAAGUAGAGCCCUUGCCAAGUGCAGACGUGUUUCUCUGCAGCCAUGAAAUGGAUUUAUCGACAGUAAAGAAGAUGCAGAUUCUCUCAGCGGCUUGCUUUACUUCUGCCAGCUCAGCACAAUAAGCAAGCAGUAGCAUGGCUAUCUUUGUCUGUCCACCAUUGCCAAAAUUAGUCUUAUCAGUUUUGUGGAGUUAUCACAAAAGUAGCAUGUUGAUUUCAUGCUGACAGUACAUGAAGAUGACAUUUUUUUUUAUGGUAAAUCAGAAGAUCAACAUAUGACCUACUUAUAAUGACAUUUAACACACAACUGGCUUAAAUGCAGCAUUUCAUAGUAAGUGAACCUUUGAAACGUUCUGCAGAACUUAGGAGGGCUCUGGGCUGUACAGUGCUUUGAUCAAGACUCUUCAGAGCACAGUACAUACAAUUCAUUGUAUGUGUUUCAUCAUCAGUGCUGAAUGCUUCUUACAUUACUACAAAAAACAAGGGAGAAUUUUUUGGCUGCCGAAUUAAAAACGAUGGCUUUAUUGCAGUGUGUGACAAAGUCGCACGGUACUGAUCUGCCCUGUAAUCGCAUCUUCUCUGGAAUGCUAACAAAAUCCUUUACAAGCAUCACUGGAAUAAUACAGGGUCGUUUAUUGAUCUUUAGUCUCCAUGAAGAACCGCAGUCUUAUUGAUUCAUCUACCAUUUACAAGCCUCUGUCUUGCUCUUAAAACUCCUUUUUAUUGGUACAGUUUGGUAGUUUCUGUUUAGUUUAUAGGUGUAUUUCCUUGUUCUUCAGUGGCAGCGAGGUAAACAGAUGUGAAUAGGUGAGCUUAUAAACCUGAAAAUUCUAGUGUGAAUUCAGUCUCUCCAAUUAUAUUUAUUUUCUGGAUACAUGAAUACUUUUGAACUUGCUGAGGCAGAUGGUUUGUCUGGAGCUGAAGCAGCCUCUGUGUUUCUAGAUAAUCUAAGAUAGAACAGUUUGAAUUAUGUCUAUUUAAAAUUCUUUUCUCUCUCAAAUUUCAUCAAAAAAAUCAUACAACCAAGUUAAAACAUUAUCCCAUAAGCAAAGUGUGAUCCCACCUAAAGCCCAUGGUAAUUUUGCUAAAGGAUUCAGAGAGGACAGGAUUUAACUUACACCUUUUCCCCCACUAAGUCUGUAGAAAAAGGCUGUUCCUGCACAUUACAUCCUUUAUAAUAACAAAUAUUCAGAUUCAUGAGUUUGGGCUUUAGUAGGGCUAAACAACCACUGCUAGCUGUUCUGUUUGUCCUAUAAAAUGUUGUCUCCCCACGUGCUUUUCCUGCUGUACUGCUGUUAUUUUUGCCCACGAUGAGCACGCUGGCAUCUUGGCCGUGCAGCCAACAGCUCCAUUUAUAUAUUUUAUCUGGCAGGUUUCAGCACCAGCGACUGUGUGAUGAGACCUUGGUAACUAGAAAUAAACUGAGCCUUGUGCCUCCUGGGACAGAAAUGCUGUGGUUUUCCUCAGUUUGGAUGAAUGCAUUGUGUGUUUCUUGUUUUAUAAAGAGCAUGUGGGGAGAAAAAACAGUAAGAGCUCCUGGAAAGAUUUGUAUGUUAGUGCCUCUGUAUAGGCCUUGUGUUUCAGUCAAAGGCUUACUCGUGUUUGGUGUGAAUUUCAGUGUGUUUCUAAUGGAUGCAUAUGUGAGUAGGCAGUUUUCUCCAGCAGUCUCAGGAGCCUGAGAGUAGUGCUUGUGGCAGGAAAGGCAGAGUGAAGUGAAACGCAAUUUUUGAAUUUUUACAUUGCUCCGAAGGGCACUUGCAUGUUGAUUCUUAGGAAUUUUAAAUAAGCAAUGUGUUGAGAGAUGAGCAUCUGAAUUUCAAAACGAUUGUACCUGAAAAGCUCUGUUGUCUCUUUCACUUACCGUCAUUUAUCUCAGCAAGCGGCAAACUUCUAACAUUGUUAGAUGUUUCAGAAAGCAUCGUCAUGAGUUUGGUCUGGAUAACUUACACACACGCUUUGGAAAGUGUCAGCAUCACUGUUGAGGAAUUCACUUUCUUAUAGCGAGACUGUAUUACAGUUACUCAUUUUUCAGAAAUGUGUAUGUUCGUCCUCUAGUAUGAAGUAAUUUUUUACUACAGGUAUGUUGCCCUUGCAAAAAAUAUAUAUAUUUAUUCAAAUCAUCCUGGAAGAUUAGAUUCCUAUUUGCUAACUAGUACGAGUUUCAAACAAGCCUUAGCUUUUUUUCUCAGUAGUUACAACUGUGUUACAUUUGCAAAUCAGUGGCUUGAAAUCUUUUUGAAGAGCUGAUCGAUGGGAGAUGCUUUGAUGUUUUGUUGAAGUUGCCACCUUGUGCAGUGCAGUGCAGUGUUGAAGCUGAUGCUUUAUAGCUAUGCACUGGCAAUCAGUAACUACAACAUUGCUGUUUUGGGAGUGUUGAAUUCUGGCAGAUUCUGUGCAUCGUUUUCCAGCAACUCUUUUACUUUAAUUUGGUUCUAGAUAAGGGAUUUACAUUAUAAGUGAAGAGCUUAAAACUGUACUUGUAGUUUUUAUAUUGAUUCACUUGUCAAUUUGCCAUGUACCAUCCUCUCCACUACCCUCUCCUCAGUGUCUGGUUUUCAGUAUUAGCAAGUGAAAGUUUUAUACAGUGGUCCACUUGUAAAUAAGUAGUUUCUAAUUUCAUUUCACUAGCAGUGUCUGCAUUUUCUAGGUAGCCAAGAGAAAAACAUGUUGUGCAGCCACUUGCCACUGUAAACACUCCAGACUAAGCAAUGAGCUUUUGGAGGAGCAGGGGUGGAGAGCCCGUCCUUUUGAACUCCAUGGCACUCCUGAGUGGUUUAGGCAUGAGUCGAGUCAUGUCAUGCAACCAGCAGCACGUUUCGUCAAAAACAGGGAUGUUGCUGUCACAGAUUUGUGAUUUAGGGUCCUGUGUGUUAGCUACCAUGCCUCUACCAAAUGCCCAGCUUUCUGAAGCUGCUUGGAUUCUACUGAACUUAGGAUGUUUGUCAUAGCUGGAGAGAUGUGUAAACAAAAAUAUGAGCAGUCAGUGAUAGCUGGUAAUACCCUACUUUCAGGUAAUCUGUGAUUCUCUGUAUUUCUUCCAGUAACACUUAUGUGAUUUACAUUUCUUUCUAUACGUUCUCUUCUAACUUUUCACAGUUCACAAGUUGAUAUUCACAUGAUGAAGGGGGAAAUUUCCAGUGGAUAUUUGCAAAAUAUUUCAAGUGGCAUAGAAAUAGUAAACAAAAAGCAACCAACCUAUUAUUUCACCCCUCUACCCCAGAAAACUGCUUCUUGAAGAUGAAGCAAUUAGUAUUGUCAGGUUGCCUGGAGACAUAUCUUUCAAGAAUGGGUGAAAUUCACUGUCAGCAAACUAAACCAACAGCAAUCAUUAUUAAAUCAGUUCAUUUCAGAAGGGUAUUUUUUGCUUAAAUAAAUGCCAUUGAACAUUACAUUCAACCAUGUUGUGAAACCAGAUUAUGAUCAUUCUUUUUUCAGUAAUAUAAAAACUCCCUGUUCCCUCUACUUAACAGAACAGGGUCAGCCACAGAGUCAGAGAAGAACAGAAUGGGAUCUUGAUGGAUCUUAUGGAAUCAUAAGUGUUAUGCAAGAAUAAGGGGUUUUUUUCUAAAUUGACUAGGUAUUCCAAAGUAGUGGGACCUGGAAUAUAAUGAUAUUAUUAUUAUAAGCUGUGCCGUAUAAAACCACAACAACGGAUCCUCUUCACACUAACAUUUCUCUUAUUCAGAGGCCAUAGUGGUAGGUAAACAUAUAUCCUAAUUUUUGGUGGUGCAGAUAGAAAGGUGUAGUCAUUUAGGCCCACACGGUGUUAGGUGUGUCAGAGAGAAAAGUACAGACAGAAUCACAACUUAGGUCCUAAUAUGCCCUUUAUUUUCUUGUAAGAAAAUAACUCAUAAUGCUUCUAAAUCCUACUGCUAAUUCUGCUGUAGAGCAGUGGAACAUAAUACAGCAUGCACCCAAACAAGCUCGAAAUGAAGCGUGCUUAAUUUUAGUCAGUUGUGGCUCAGAAGGUCAAAUCUUAGCAAUAAUGUAUAGAAAAGCACCCACACACAGCCAUCUCUUCUUCUCCCACAUGAAAACCUCUUUUAGAUGAGAUUCUGUUGUCCUAUUUAAUACAUGCAGUUCGUAGUUUGAAUAUGUGCAGAAUUAGUAUUUGUUUUCAUGGAUUGCUAAUGUUUUUAAUAAAUAUUCCAGGCUUGAUAUUGCUGGAAAGUGUUUUUACCAUACACUUUAUGUUGGGGAGUUGCCUAGCAAGUUCAAUUAAAUGAAAAUAUUUGCUCUGGCAUGCAAGCAAGUUCUAAAAAAGCUGAGGCAAUAUUUGUGCUGCAGGAAAUGUCGAUAAAGACUUGCUUAAGUUUUGCUCCUUCUGUGCUGAAUUAGAAUCCUUUUAUCAGAUACACUGCAUGGUUCUGUGUUUUAUUGCUUGUUAGGGCGGGGUUAUUUAUUUAUCUCAAAGCUACUUUAUGCUUACUGAGAAAAUAUAGCAAGAAAAUAACCUAGGGAAUCUGAGCUGUGUGUUAAAAAUCACCUAUUAAACAUAGCGUGGUUUAAGUUAAUUAAUUAACGUAUGUAAGAAGUAGAUUGGUGAUUCUAUUUUGCAUCUUAAUUUUUUGUGGGCAAAGAAGAACCUUAGAGAUAUUUGUACUUUCUUCAUCUACAAUCUCGUGGCUAUUGAGGAAGGUCAGUAAGGUGAAGGGACCUAAUGGAGUCAGAACCCUUGCAUUUCCUUUACAAAGGUUAAGAAUAUUAGUAUAUUAAUCAAUAUGACAUUAUUCUUAAUAUAUUUGGCAUGAAACACUAGUAUUUUACAGGGUUAAUUAUGUUUAGUUUUACAUAAUAAAAUGCUGCUGCUUUUCAGGGCACCAACAUUUUUCAUGCAUUUGACACACAAUAUAAAAGUUAUAAGUGAAUAUAUUAAGUUAUGCUUUGCUGAAGAGAAAGAGAUUGGAUAUCAUUCAUUGCAUGGAGUUGGUGUGAGCGGAUGUGUUCCAAGACAUGAACCAGUGGUAAAAAUUGUGAUACUUUGUCAGGAAGGGAUGACAUGGACAAAGGCUUGAAACCUGUCUGCUGUCUUGUAAGUAAAAGAAAGGGUGAGAUGAAAAAGGAGGAAGAUCUCUUUGAUGUAGCCUACCACAGUGUAGAUAGGUUAACUGUGAUUUUUAUUUCCACACCUGUGUCUUUAAUAAAUGUUUGCAUGUUGUCAGUUUUGAAUUUUAUGAACGAAUAACUGUAUGUCCACUUCAUGGUAAUUUCAAUUGAUGCUGGAUAGCAGCAAAGCAUAAAGUGAACCUGACCAGAAGCGCAGAACACACGUCCUUGUCUUCCAGUGUAUUUUUCAUCAUACCUGAAGAUUAACAACUGGGUUCCCAUUUUUGCCACUCAAGCCAUGCGGUGAGUUGGCACCACAAGAACCAACCAAGGCAGCAGAGGUUUCUCCUACCAGCUGUUGGUGACAUUCCUGACAUGGAACACCAUGUUCCUGACACACUUGAACACCAAAGGUUGAGGGGAACGUGACGCUGUAAAAGUGUAUUCACUUUCUGUUUUUUUGUCUCUCACAACCUGAGAUACUGCUGGAAGGUUGUAUCAGUACAUUAUAACUGAGAAAAACGGAUUUUGUUUUUCGUGACAAAUAACGGCAGCAGUUCCACUUGGCUCUAAGCUGAUCAGUCUGAUGCCUAAGAACUUGAGCUUGCGAGAAAAUAGAGUCAUUAGAUACCUGCUUGCUUGCCUGGGAUAAUACCACACGGAACAAUGCAUGCUUCAAGAGGCCAGAGAUUUCUAAUAACAAAUGCAGUCAUUUCCCUAUUUCCUGUGCACAAUAUGUCAUCCUUUUGUAGCUGCAAUUUGAAGAAAUCAGUGAGGUACGUAGUCUCCUCGUACAUGCACGGCCUUUGGCAUUGUUCACCCACAACCUCUCCUCUUCUGCAGGAACUGGAAGUCUUAGCUGCCAGUCUAAGUGUGUAACUCAGCAGCCGUGCGUGAAGUCUUGAGGCAAAUAUGAAGAUGUUAGUUUUGUUUUGCAUGUUUUAGCUUCUUUCAUGGCUAGAAGAGGAGAUAUGACAGGACUGUGCGCAUGGAAGGUCCACGUCUAAGCUGUUUCCUUCCUGCAGACGCCACCAGUCACUUUUACUUAGUGCUUGCUUUUGCGAGGCCUUUGUAUUCACGUUAUUGCAGUCAUGGUUGUAGUACAAGAGAACAUUUCUAAGUUGCUCUGCAGCUGCGAGAAAAUACUGUUUAGGAAGCUUCUUGCUGGCAUUCUUUAAAGUCUCCUGAGUACACCCAUCUUCCUACAGUGUUCAGUAGCAGGACAGUGAUAAUGGAGUAGUGACCUGACCUGAUCACUGUCUUCAGUUGUUCGGUUGUAAAACAUCAUCCAAAUUAGAAAUUCUCAGCCUCUGCCUUGUUCUCUUGCUCUCUUCGGAUCAGGACUUAUGUCAACAGAAAAAUGUGUCAGGACAAAAGUUAUAAUGGAUAAUUAACAUUUUAGACAAAAUAGUGACAUUUCACCUUCGUUUGUGUGCUGCUUUGGGUCCUCUGAUACACUUUUGUCAAAUUUUAUCAGUUUGCCCUGUGUAUCCUGACUCAGAGACAGCAGCAUGAAUCUGAUCAGCAGGAACUAACAGUAGCUUGUGAGUGCUUAUGACAUUCUUCUCAAUGUCAAGUGGAUCUGAUGGCUGAGAAGUCAUUUUUUGUUUAUGCCCAAAUACUCAGGUUUUCUAAUAGAAAGUUUAAUCAGGUGGAGGUUAAAAAAAAGUUGGUGUUACUGCAUUACAUUACAGCAAACUUGUGAAAUUUAACUGAUCCGUUUGGCAAAAUGUUUUGAAUUACCUAUGAUGAAAUGUGCUGUCACAGGACUGAACGUAUUUUUUUCCAGAUUACUGAUUUAAGAAAAAAGUUUGCAGUGCUGAAAACACUGCACAAUGUUUAGUAGAAAACAUUAAAAAAAAGUGAGAAUUGGAAGCUGUAGUAACAGGCAGAAAUCAGUACCCAGUCCAUUUCAGUUCUUAAAAUUCCACUGAUUAUGACCUAAAAACCACUUUCUCUAUCGGAAUCUAUUUACCUAAUUAUUUUAAGUAGGUAAUAUUUUAUUUCCGUUUGCCUUAUUUGCUGCCCAAUUAAGUCCAUGCAUCUACCUGUCCUGUGUAUUAAUUUCUCAGUAAAUUCUAAUAAUUAAGGAAUGUAAGUCAAAGUUUUUCUCUUAAAUAGCUAAAGAUUGAUACAAGCAGCAUGAUGCACCCUUUCAAAUAAAGCAUACAGGAGUUUUAUUAACAGCUUUAAGGACUCUGUUGCCCGAUCCUAGAUGAACUUUGAAGGUACCAUUCACAUAAAGAAGCAAGCUUCAAUAGAUCUGUUUUUCAUCAUUAAUCCUCUUAAUAAAGUCAAUGAAAGGAAAACAGAAACAUACCUAAAGCUAAAAAGAAUCUGAAGGAAAACUUCUAAACAGCUUGUUGAGAGCCUGAGCUGCUAGAAGGUUCCUGGCUUGCCAUCCAGCACUAGCCACCACUAGCCCACGGGGUGACUGUCAUUGGGUCUGGCCUAGAACCGUCAGAACCCAGAAUCAGCUGCCUUCUGGCUGCCAGUCUCACAAUUGCCUGUUGUUGACAACAUGGAGAGACUCAGCAUGUGUCAGCUCUUGACUGAUGCUGUCAGUCCAUACAUUAAGCAUCUUUUUGGACAGGUCUGCUCGGGGUUGUGCUUAUACUGGCUGUCCCCACAGUUUUCCUUUUGCAUUGGGACUUAGAACAGCUAUUCUGACAUAGGUGGAACUGAAGGGUCAUAGAAGGGUUUUAAUACCUUCCAUAGCCUGCCCCACUAGUUGGUUUUGGCUGUGUUUGUGGUGCUUUCUUCUGGAGAAGCAGAGGAGUCAAGAUCCAGAGUCUUGGUUCUUGCAAGUGGGAAGGAAAUCUGUAUGCUCUGCUUGAGGUACUGUUUCAGAGUCCUGUCUGUGUUGCACUGCAUAUAUGAAUUCAUAAACAGGCUACAGAUUUGUCAACACACCUGCAACACUAUCUGAUAACCCUCAGCACCAUCUGAUAACCCUCAGCAUAGGGGAGCUCCACGCCAGCUCCCUCCCAGCCACAGCACCCCAGGCCCCAGGGCUGCUGCCCUCCAGCACUAGGGAGCAGGCCUGCUCCGGCACCCAGCACUGUCUGACAACACCCAAAAAUCUCUUAAAAAUGAAAAGAAAAACAAAUGUUGAUGUUUAGACAAACAUAAUCUGUUGAAUGGGAUGGACCUUAGUAGGUCUCUCAGCCUUCCACACCUCAGGACCCUCGGGAAUUUAGGUACUCACUUAGGCACUGCAAUGGGAGCUAAAGCCUUUUUCACGUGAUGCGUUUCUGGUAAUGCUGAUACCACCACUUGCUGUUGUCCUGUUGAUCUUUUUUGUUGUUGCUAUUAUACAGGCUGUUGGUUUUUAAUCUCUUCAACAGCUGACAUACUGUUUUACCAUUUAAUCAUCCUGCCACUGUCCUUGCAGACCUCAGUGUUUCCAUAAGGCAGCAACUGUCAAAUAUUAGCCAAGAUUUAGUUAUUUACUUUAGUUCUUUACAUAAGGACUGACUUACAGCUAAAACAUGCUUUUUGUCACUCCUGAAAGAUACAUUUACUUUGAAGGAAGAAUGGAUUAAAAUGUGUUCUUUUUACUUAAAAAACCUUUGCUCCUUCUUUUUCUAUGAUUGCUGGCCUAGCCAUGUAGGUUGGUCCUUCAAAGAAAGGAGGAAAAGAAGGGGUAAUUGUGGGGAUGUGUGUAUUUUUUCUAUGAAGUGACAAGAGUCUUCCACUAAAUGGCCAUUCUGAGCACUUAAUUACAGUGUUUAAUCUUUUAUUAUAGAAGGUGGCUGACAUUUUAUUUGAAUAAAACACACUUGUAACGAAGUGCAAAUGCAGAAUUCGACAGAAGUGAAGGUUCUGUAGCUUAAACAGUUACAGCUUUAUCUCUGGAAUUACUAGCAAUGCUGUGGCUGCUUUAAAACAGAAGGUAACAUUGACAUAUUAUGCUUGUCCCUUUAGACUUUAAAGUCUAUCUGUUAGAGUUAAUGUUAUGAACAGUGGAGAUCUUUUUCCUGUUUUAAACAUAUGUCUAUUGACUGUAACCAUGCUAUGGUUUCUAAGACUGAAAAGAUGCUCAGAAUUUCCUGUUCAUAUAAAAGAGGAAAAAGUUUAUUUUUUAUUACAUAAACAUCUGGGGAAUAUGCUGACAGCAUUUUUCUGUACACUGAAUGAAAAAGCACUGACUUUCUGUCAUUGUUUUUAAAAACUGGAUUUGGACCAGGUAGCUUUUCUCCUUGAUAGGAAAAGCUUGUCAGCUUGACCUUUGGCACCAUUUUCCUUGUGCUAUGACUCUGUUUUACUUCAGGGGGAAUAUUUUGAACCAGACAAUACAUUGUGGCCACAGUAGAGUCACAUCCUCUCAAGGAGCACUUGGUGACUUGCUUGGCAAGGCAGCACUCCCUAAAUUAUUACCUCAGCAGGAUUCAAACUAAAAUUAUUUAAAACGUCAUCUGCUGCAACUCAAUUUAGAUGCAGGAGGACAUUUUCCUGUUGUUAGAAUUUUGUUACUAUAUCAGUUUAAUUGUUUAUUAUUCAGGACUAGGUUUACCAGCUUGUAUUUCUUAAGCAUGUAGGACUGAACAUUGUAAAAUCAAUAUUUCUGCUAAUGAAGGUGGUUUUUGGGUGUAGGUAAUCAAACAGUAUAGUGAAUCAUUAAAAACUUACAUGCUAAUAUUGACUAGCAAUAUUGGCACAAAGAGACCAAAUCUCUGUGCCAUGAACUUUUUUCCUUCUUAUAUUUUUACAGCAGAAACAAAACACAUUCAGUAAAAAUUAAUGUUCUCAGCAUUUAGCAGUGUAGAGAUGGCCCUUUAUGGAUAUAAAAGCAAAUGCAGUGUGUUGAAAUUCUGGGCACUCAGGCACUCGUAUGUAGCAUUUUCAUUCCCAUCAUUUAACGUAGCAGUAAGUGGUGUCUGACUUGAAGGAGUCUUACUGUGCUUUCAAAUAGACGGAAAGCUCCUGCCUCUCGUGCAAAUAAAGGAUCAUUUCUAAUUUAUUGCCAAUCUUUGUCAGUAUCUUUUUUCCCUCCAAAAGAUGGUUUCUUCUUGUCUGGCAUUGACGAAUGUUUGGUUUUGUUUUGUUUAUAUUAGCUGUGGCCUACUAGGACUUCUUUGGGCCUUCUCAGUGGGUGUUACAGAACAGACCUCUAAGUGAUGAUUUGCUGCCACCUUAGGAAAUAGCUUCUCUUCCCCCAGUUCCUUUACCAUGAAAACAGUGACUGCAGGUGGGACACUGGACACUGUUGGACAUCAUUUUAUUCUAUGUGUUUGACUGACUUUUGACUUAGGACGCUGUAGUCAAGAACCUAGGGUCUGCAGUCAGAUCCAGCAUGACCUGACUUGGCUUUCUGCUUGGACCAGAUUCUUGCAUGAACAAACUGCUGAAGAUCCUUUUAUAUAAGAGUGAUACCUCUUUGGCAGGCUUACUUCAGGGCUGGAUCAUGUGCAGGGGCUGCACCAUUUUUUUAAGGAAAGUAGAGUAGAACAAAGACUGAAAAUACAUUCAUUCACUUUUCAGGCAUAAAAACAUGAAGUAUAAAACUCGUUAAUCUAACACAAGCCAAACCAUUGCAUCUGCUCAGACUGUUUUGCUCUGUGCUUUUUUAACUAUAUCACAACUUAAGAAGUUGUUCUGCAGUUCUUCACAGCCUUUGUAAUGAAAGGAAACUUGGCAUCACUGUAGAACUAAGGCAUCAGAAUUCAGCUGGAUUCUGGGAAGGAGCAACCUAAGGAGAGUUAAGUCAGACAUCAUCUGAGUCACAGCAAAUUAUAAAUGUGUUACCACUGUAUUUCCUGAGAAAGUUUCUCCCUAAAAUGCUAAGUGCAUUGUUAUCGUCUAAUCAGAAUUUCAAAGGAGAAGCAUUUUUUGAUGAAAACAUAGUAUUUAUCAUUCUUGUUUCUAAGAUUAACUUCUUCAGUUUGCAUGGGAAGUUUUGUAAUGCUUGCAUGUUGACUCAGGCAGUCUGUAGUAACUGGGGCAACUUCUAGUCCAUCUCUUACGCUAUCCUUCAGCAAUUCAACGUUUCCCUCUGAGACUGAAAAAAAAUUGAACUUACGUCCCUUAACAUGAGCUGAAGAAAAGCAACACAGUGAGAUACAAACUCUUGCGGUUACUAUUGGCCAGCUGUAUUCCACGCAGAAAUUGGUUAUUGAGGGUCCAGGAAACACAUAGCUGUGAGAAGACUCUGAUCCUGAAGCAACACUGGACCAUCUUCAGCAUCCUACAGUGCCACAUACAGAUGCAUAAAGUCACUGCACGUCGGAGCUUUUCUGUUUAGCAGAAGAAAUGUCUGAGAGACUCAGUUUUUGGCAACCAAAGUAUUUGCUAAUGGUUCACAUGUUCUAAAAUAUAUUGCUGUGAUUUAUAAUAGUAUAUAAGGUAGUCUUGGUAUCUGUUUGCUUGUAUGUCCCAUGUGAUUAAAUAGUUCCUACCCUACUUUGACAAUAAAACUUCAUUGAACUACCUGGAACCAGAUACAUUAUUCUGCUGCUGCCCUUUUCUCUCACUGAGCAUGAAAGAUGUGUUAGAUUUAAACCCCCUCACCUGCUCACUAAGUCUUUAUUGAUCCCAUUUCUUUUAAAACUACACAGCAUCUGAUUUGAAUCACUAAAGACAUAGUUAAUUUUAAAUAUUAAAAUCAGAGAUGAUCAGAGUUUUUGGCUCCUGGACCUUGAUACUUACAAAAAUAUCACAAGCUGCACUGUGUGGUUUCUUUAAAGAACAUCCCUUGACAUUUCGGGAGGUGACAUAAAACUUUCUCUAAUUCUUUCUUGAGUUUCCAAGAGUUAAUAACCACCCUCAUCCUCCUUUUAACACUUAACAGAUCAGAAUAGCAGAAUGUAAGACUUGCAUCACCAAGGCUUGGGAGAUUUAAAGUAUAUUUUCACCACCAGGUCCUUUUCUAAAUUUGUGGAGGUGAAGGUAUUAGCAGAAAGUACCACAUCACUUCAUGCAAGGUUUCCCUUUUUCACAAAGCUCCUGAAUUUUGCAGGAGAAAAAGAACCUGACUAUGAAAAUAGCUCAUGUGCUGUAAGUCCAUAAAUUAGCAGCAAGCUUUACCCAGCAAAGUGGAAUGCUCAGUGUGGUGUUUUAUUGCUUUUUAUUAAAUCUGUAGAAUAAUCAACACUUUAAAGACAAUUUGUUAAAAAAAAAAAAAAUGAAGGUUUUUGUCAGGUUCUGUUGAAGUCAUUGCUGUGCUUCAAUUUGUUUUCUAUUAUAAAUUUGCAAACAAAUAAGGCAUUGCAAAGCUGGUUUAAUGGCAUACAAAAGAAAGCUUCGUUUGUUUUUCCCCAGGGUAUUGUUGUGGGGUUUUUUUAAGAAGAGAAACAGAAACUCAAAACUAAUUACAUGGCACUGUCUCCUUUUAAAACCUCCUCUUAUUUUUCUUCGCAAAAUUCAUCUUUGUUUAGAACUUCUAUUGUUUUGCAUUGUGCAUGCUGUGUGAUAGCAUUAUUAAAGCUGACGAUAGAUAAAGUGUCUAAUGUAGAACAAACUCCCAUGUCUUACUACCAUUUAAAGUGUAUUUUAUAAUUUUGUACAGUUAGAUUUAAAUGUAUAGUAAUGUGUUCCAUUAACAACACUGUAGUGUACAGAAUAAGAUACUGUGACUACUUGAGUCUACGAAUGUAGCCUCCAUUUUCACCUUCAAAUAAAAGGCAAAUACAGUAAUAA